rnacentral:rRNA from 1 species
CCUACGGAAGGCAGCAGUGAGGAAUAUUGGUCAAUGGACGAGAGUCUGAACCAGCCAAGUAGCGUGAAGGAUGACUGCCCUAUGGGUUGUAAACUUCUUUUAUAUGGGAAUAAAAUGUUCCACGUGUGGGAUUUUGUAUGUACCAUAUGAAUAAGGAUCGGCUAACUCCGUGCCAGUAGCCGCGGUAAUACGGAGGAUCCGAGCGUUAUCCGGAUUUAUUGGGUUGAAAGGGAGCGGAGGUGGAUUGUUAAGUCAGUUGUGAAAGUGUGCGGCUCAACCGUAAAAUUGCAGUUGAAACUGGCAGUCUUGAGUACAGUAGAGGUGGGCGGAAUUCGUGGUGUAGCGGUGAAAUGCUUAGAUAUCACGAAGAACUCCGAUUGCGAAGGCAGCUCACUGGACUGCAACUGACACUGAGGCUCGAAAGUGUGGGUAUCAAACAGGAUUAGAUACCCGUGUAGUC